rnacentral:rRNA from 1 species
UACGUAGGGUCCGAGCGUUGUCCGGAAUUACUGGGCGUAAAGAGCUCGUAGGUGGUUUGUCGCGUUGUUCGUGAAAACUCACAGCUCAACUGUGGGCGUGCGGGCGAUACGGGCAGACUAGAGUACUGCAGGGGAGACUGGAAUUCCUGGUGUAGCGGUGGAAUGCGCAGAUAUCAGGAGGAACACCGGUGGCGAAGGCGGGUCUCUGGGCAGUAACUGACACUGAGGGACGAAAGCUAGGGGAGCGAAUGGG